ACGACUGCUGCUAAGACUGGAUAGGAAGAUAAAAGGCAUCUUGUAUCUUUUAAAAGACCUAGUUAAUAGGUAUGCUUUAGGAGGGGCUUGCGCCAUAUUAGUUAGUUGGUAGGGUAAUGGCCUACCAAGACGAUGAUGUGUAGCUGGACUGAGAGGUUGAACAGCCACAUUGGGACUGAGACACGGCCCAAACUCCUACGGGAGGCAGCAGUAGGGAAUUUUCGGCAAUGGAGGAAACUCUGACCGAGCAACGCCGCGUGAAUGACGAAGUACUUCGGUAUGUAAAGUUCUUUUAUCGAGGAAGAAAAGCAAAUGGCGAACCAUUUGUUUGCCGGUACUUGAUGAAUAAGCCCCGGCUAAUUAUGUGCCAGCAGCCGCGGUAAGACAUAAGGGGCAAGUGUUAUCCGGAAUUAUUGGGCGUAAAGGGUGCGUAGGCGGUCUAGUAAGUCAGUGGUGUAAUGUCAACGCUUAACGUUGUCCGGCUAUUGAAACUGCUAAACUUGAGUUAGAUAGAGGCGAGUGGAAUUCCAUGUGUAGCGGUAAAAUGCGUAAAUAUAUGGAGGAACACCAGAGGCGUAGGCGGCUCGCUGGGUCUUAACUGACGCUGAGGCACGAAAGCGUGGGGAGCAAACAGGAUUAGAUACCCUGGUAGUCCACGCCGUAAACGAUGAGUACUAAGUGUCGGGUUAAACCGGUACUGAAGUUAACACAUUAAGUACUCCGCCUGAGUAGUACGUACGCAAGUAUGAAACUUAAAGGAAUUGACGGGACUCCGCACAAGCGGUGGAUCAUGUUGUUUAAUUCGAAGAUACCCGAAAAACCUUACCAGGUCUUGACAUGUUUUUGCAAAAUGAUAGUAAUAUCGUGGAGGUUACCAGAAACACAGGUGGUGCAUGGUUGUCGUCAGCUCGUGUCGUGAGAUGUUAGGUUAAGUCCUAAAACGAGCGAAACCCUUAUCGUUAGUUGCCAGCACGUUAUGGUGGGGACUUUAACGAGACUGCCAAUGAUAAAUUGGAGGAAGGUGAGGAUCACGUCAAAUCAGCAUGCCCCUUAUGACCUGGGCUACAAACGUGAUACAAUGGCUGUUACAAAGGGUAGCUGAAACGCAAGUUCUUGGCCAAUCCCCAAAAACAGUCCCAGUCCGGAUUGAAGUCUGCAACUCGACUUCAUGAAGUUGGAAUCGCUAGUAAUCGCGAAUCAGCAUGUCGCGGUGAAUACGUUUACGGGGUUUGUACACACCGCCCGUCA
rnacentral:rRNA from 1 species